rnacentral:rRNA from 1 species
GACGAACGCUGGCGGCGUGCUUAACACAUGCAAGUCGAACGGAAAGGCCCUGCGUUUGUGGGGUUCUCGAGUGGCGAACGGGUGAGUAACACGUGAGUAACCCGCCCUUGACUUUGGGAUAACUUCAGGAAACUGGGGCUAAUACCGGAUAGGAGCUCCUGCUGCAUGGUGGGGGUUGGAAAGUUUCGGCGGUUCGGGAUCGACUCGCAGCUUAUCAGCUUGUUUGUGGGGUAGUGGCUUACCAAGGCUUUGACGGGUAGCCGGCCUGAGAGGGUGACCGGCCACAUUGGGACUGAGAUACGGACCAGAAUCCUACGGGAGGCAGCAGUGGGGAGUAUUACACAGUGGGCGGAAGCCAGAUACAGCAACGCCGCGUGCGGGAUGACGGCCUUCGGGUUGUAAACCGCUUUCGCCUGAGACGAAGCGUGAGUGACGGUAAUGGGUAAAGAAGCACCGGCUAACUACGUG